GGAUGUGGCUCAGUGGUCGAGUGCCUCUGAGUUUAGUCCCCAGUACCAAAUAAAUAAAUAAAUGAGCAAAAUGUAGGGAAAUUUGUAUAUGAUUUGUAUAUGAGUAAUCUAGAAGUUUUCAGAUUAUUCAUUAACAGCCUCUUUUUCCUGUUUAUAUGUUCUAUCCAUAGGAAAUACCAUGAUGGGUUUUAUUUGUUUGUUUUCCUGCACUUUAUUCAGACUUAUUUAGUUUUAACCUAAUAACCUUUUCCUGUUCCAGGCUCCCAUCCAGGACACCACAUUACAAUCAUUCAUCGUGUCUCCUGAGGUUUGUUUUGGCUGUAAGAGUUUCCCAGAAUUUUCUUGUUUUGAAUGACCUUGACAUGAUGACCCUGAUAAUUUUGAAAAGUGCUGGUCAAGUAUUUUGUAGAAUGUUCCUUGUACCAUUAAAAAAAAAAUGGGGGGGGGGAUUCUUUGUGCAUUUCUUGUCUAAUCUGAGCAGACUGAACACGUGACAUGAUUGAAUCUACAGUAUAUAAAAUAAGAGAGAAAUAAAUUCUGAUGAGGAUCUGGGAAGGCUUUUCACCACAAGUAGGUUUUAAACUUGCCUUUAAAGAAAUCAGCUGGGUUUGUGGUGGGGCUGGCAGGGGUGGGAGAGCAAUAGCAUGAACAUGGGGAAUGCAAGUCAUGUUCUAGUAAGGAACUGAUGUUUCAGUGCAGUUUAUAAAAC
rnacentral:lncRNA from 1 species